rnacentral:lncRNA from 1 species
GAGGUAUUAUCCUCAUCUCCAUUUUACAGAUGAGGAAACUGAGGUUGAAAGAUAUUAAAGUGACUUGUCAAGGAUCACAUAGCUGGUCAAUAUCUGAGACUGAAUUUGAACUCUGGCCUUCUUGUUUCUAGGACUAAUGCUCUAUCCACUGUAUAUGUCAGUCUGAGAAAUAUGGGGAAACUUUCUGGGUGGACCUAGAAAGCCAACUGCUGCAGAGGGCCUUCAAGGAUCUGAAACAAUAAGAAAUUCUUGGUUCAUUUUUCUCAAAAAUAAAGGUGUCCUCCAAGAAUGGAUGUCAUGGACUCUUACCAUCAGAAUGAGAUAGGAGGAAACUCUUCUUCUACUAUUAAAGGAUGCCUGGCUUUAACUACAGCUGGAAAGCAAAUAAGGUACAUUAUGAAGAGCCCUUCAAAGUCUUUUAGUCUCAGGAAUAUUCAAAUACAUUUAAUUCAUCAGUAAUUGAAGACUUCCUUCACUAGAGACAUGUCUAGAAUAGGCCCAAUGUCUAAUUAGCUCAAGGAACCUGGUUUUUUCCCUCA